AUGGUAGCUCACACCUGUAAUCCUAGCCCUCAGGAGGGAGAGCAGGAGAUUUGCUACAAGUUCUAGGUCUGUCUGGGCCUCGCAAUGAGACUGUUUCAAACAAAAUGAUACUUUUAGCCCACUUUUGGCCCAUCCAACCGUAGUUGACUUUUCCAGGGAACAGGGAAGUGGUUGUGGUAAUAACUAGUAAAUAUCACAGUAAAGGCACAUGAGCAGGUGGCAUUGAGCAACCAAAAUCGACACUUGGAAUUCCAUCUCAGCUCUCAUUCUUAAGCAGUAGGAGCCUCUUACCCUAGAGCAAGAAUUAUAGCUUUGUACCGUUUGAGUAAUGUCAAGUAUUUGGUCAGUCAUUGCUCAGUACAUUAAUUACGUGAAAUGAUGCUUUUCACUAAUAGAUGCAAUCAUCGCUUUCCACAUCACAAAGCAGAAUCUAAGUUGAUUGCCAAACCAUACAAUCCAGAAGCUCUGAGGCUCUCCUGGGCCUGCUGUUGAAUUUCUAAGGAGUUUGCCUUGGAAGAAUCAGACAGCAGGAUGGACUUGGGAGGACACCUAGUGGCAGAGCAGUGGCUUCCCUGGAACUCUCAAUGUAGACCAGGCUGGCCUGGAACUAACAGAGAUCACCUGCCUCUGACUCCUGGAUACUGGUAUUAAAGAGAACAAGAGGAAGGACCCUCAACAAGAAGCUGUCCCAAAGAAGUGUGGAAUGCCUCAGCCACCCAGGCCUGUCUUCACAGAGUGCAUAGAAAGGAUGUGAAGACACUCGUGAACCAUGAAGUGCUACACACAUGUUUCUGGUCAUUAUCUUACUAAGCACUGUAAAGGCAGUAGUUGCCUUAGGCAGAGCUAGAAUCCUUCCCAGUUUGGCCCCUUGCUGGCUGAGAGACCUCAGGCGAGGUCCUGAACUCUCCAGGUGUCUGUCUGUUUACUAUAGAACAUCAGCUUCUU